UGCUGGCAGUGCUGCCCGCCCCGGGGCGGACGGCAGCCUCGUGCGGGAUGUGAACACCUCCCCUCCGGCUCUGCGCAGCGCUGCCCUGCGGGGGGUGUCCAGUAGGGUGUCCGGUACCCACAGAUUGAAGCUGAAGGCCGUGCACGCGUUCUGUACUCAGGAAUGAUGUAUUGUAAAUGAUCAGAAGUCUUAAAUGCAUUACACUAAGAACAAUCUGUUGCUGACAAUCUUGGAAGAAAGCAAAACAGGCUUAGACAGAGUUCUGCAGCCUUAGCUCAUCUCAAUGAGCCACUUAAAAGCUAUUACAAAUAAACUUCAGAGCAGUGCAACCUAUCUACUGGAUUCCAUAUUACUCAAGACCUACUGAGAGACAUAACUGAAGAAUGAUUCUGCAAUAUGAGUUUUCAUGUUAAUGAUGCCACCCUGCCGUAGCACUGAACAAGUUUCAACAUUUGAAUGCCUCCCUGCGGAGUCUCUCUGUUGCUGUGUGAUCAGACAUACAGAAUGGAAAAAUAAACAUGGAUAGAUUGAAUGAUAAAUCGUGGAAAAGAACAGGAUUUAUCCUUAUUAAGUCGCCAGCAGGAUCCCCAGUUCCACCAUCCCACAGUCACAUUGGACACAGUUGCUUCCACCCUUCACACACCAACCAAUUAUUCCAUGUUUGGAGGUGUGAAGUCCAGCAAAACACCUUCCCUCACCAACUCCUUGAUCCUGUGUUAAGGAGUGGUCCUCAAUGCAUUCCCAAAAACUGACUGGAUUGCCUACGCCCUGCUGUGUUGCUGCUUCUACAAGAUACUAAGGUACUGAGCUAUUCCACAUCCAAUAUCACAGUUAAAUCACAACCCUACAAUUGCAUGCAGACCUCUAAUUCAUCCUUUUUAUUCUCCACAGUCACUUUGCAGAGGUAUUUAGUCCUACAGAUUCCCCAGGAUGUUUGAGAACUUCCCCCAUCAUGCUGCCAUUUUACUGUUUCCUUAUUUUAGUGCAUAUAUCUGAGGUGGGUUCCCUCCAGCUGUAUUCAUUAGAGGAUCUCUUGUCUCCAUCAGCCUAUACCUUCUGCUUGCUAGUUUACCAUUUCCUUACUUUAUUUCGGGUAUUGUCACUUUUAGUGUAAGUCUCUCCUCACCACAUUGGUCAGCCUGUUGGCAGACAUAUUUCUGGGCUGACUUGGGCUGGUGGAACCCAUCUCCUCCUAGGAGUUCUUAAUCCACAAAGACAGUCCCUUGGUCAUAAAACCCAAAUCCCUGCUGCUGAUAUCAGCUGGGCAACUAACUGGUUACUGACAUGAAUGGUCUAUUCCUUUUCAUAGUAAGGAAAGGCUCAAAGAUCAAGAAAAAACACUUGGUCUCCUGUGCCUUUGUCUCUCACUCUGAAAGCCUUUUAAUUGUGUUUGAAAAACUCCAGGUAACCCUUGGCUAUAUCCAUUAGUCUUACGUGAAAGAGGUAUAGGGUUCAGGUGCCUGAUGAUGAAACACACUGCGUGUAGUCUCUCCAGAACAUCCCUCUCCUGAGUUGCCAAGAAGCAGCAAGCCUCCUUAAGAUAACAGCUCAGAUGGUGGCCUCUGUCCCCUGCAGGAAGCAGCCUCCCUACUACUAUCACUUGAUGUUCACACCUAGUGCUGUGCUGUACAGAGCUUCUAGCCACUUGUUUUCUUUCAGUGCAAUGAACUUAUGUGACAAAUGCAUAUAUGCAUGAGAUACAGGAAUCUCCUUUGGUGUCAGAAGCCAUGAGCUCCCUCCCUUCGCUACUGUGGAGAUCUCCAUUUUGCAGCCUGACAUGCAUUCUUCCUGCCCCUCUUUCAAUAUACACAGGGCUCUUGAAUCUUCAGGCUCUUGCAGAAGAUCCUGUCCAUCUCCUUCUAGUUAUUUCUGAUGCUGUGCAGCCUGCUGAACCUCUUCCACUUGUCUUUUGCUUGGUGGAAGCAAGUUUUCCACCACUGCACCAUUUGGAGGGCAAGGACACUACUUUCUCCUGAUCUACUGGUAUGCCCAAGCAUCCCAGCAGUGCAAGAACUGAAACUCUCAGGAACUUGGCCUAAACUGAGGGCUCUGAUGAGCAAGAUGCAGUUGCUCCAGUGGUAGGGAUCAUGCCCUGUGGCACAUCACCACCAUUCUUAAGCACAUUUGUGCUGCCCUCAGUUUCCAGUCCCCUUCUGUGUGAACUGAGCACCUAUAUCUGUUGGCUGCCUCCCAGCUGUACUCUCUUAUAAAAGAAAUAAAAAAAAAGUGAGAAAAAAAGUGUACAUGCUAUUAAAAUAAUGAUGUUUCAGUAAUUAUAAGAGAAACACCACCUUAAUCUUGCUACUGCUGCUUCGUAACUCCUUCACCAGACUGGUCAAGUUCAACAAUUCAGCAGAAAAAGCUGAAAAAACAAGAGCCAGUCUUGAUUGUUUAGCGAGCUAAACAAGCCUGGAGCAAUACACGUGAAAGGGAAAAUGCAGGGUUGUGAAUAGGAUCAGAAUCUACUCUUUUCAAUUACAAGCUGUUGAUCCAGUCACUUUUACUGCAACUGAAAGCCCAUAUACUCGUUAGUGCUGCAUAAACAGAUACUGUUGUUAACUCAGCUACUUGGAGAUGGAAGAUGCUUCAUCAUCUGUGUGAAUUUUCAAGACAAACCACAUUAUUGGCAUUUCUGAAAUUUAUUGCUGCUUACUGUACUUUGUUUACCCAUAUAAAUGACAGAAAACUAGACUGAGCAGAGUACAAACUACUAUGGCAAUUUUAUGUACAAAAUGAUUUUACAACAAAGUUAGUAUUUGGUACCUCCUGAUACAGUAAGUUCUGUUAAUUCAUGUUUAUUCUGUCACUAGCAUACUGGCAGUUAAAAUAACAACAACUUAAAAAAGAUUCCUUAAGCCUACUAGUUCUUCUAGCCAAAAGUCAAAGACACAGACAAGCUUAGAGCUUAGGUAUCAGCCCCAAAAAAUUACCAUUAAAGUCCUAUUGGAUUAACAUCAAACAGUCAACCUCCUCUUGUAUCAGGGGAUUAACCCUUAGCAUUGUUAUAGAAGUUUGCAUUCUCACACUACAAGCAAGGUUAGGAGACACUUAAGUUUUUAAGCAAUCUUAAUGAAGAUACCAAAUUCCUCUUUGUGUAAGAGUUUGAUAUGCAUCUAACUUCAUUCAAGUUCUCAUAGGUUAUUAAAGCACUUAAGAGAUUUUGCUUUUUAACUAGUCCUACAAGAUAAGCAACUGCUUAUUUGACUCACAGCCAAGCUUCCUCUAGAAGCCUCUCAGAUGUGCCUACCCUUGUGCCACUUCACUGACAGGAUAAAAGAUGGGCUAUUCUGUCAGGCAGGUUUUUUAACAGGUUAGGUGAUAGAUACCUUAUCAUUUGGUCAUUGAGCUGAGAACUGGCACAAGAAGCAAGAGAAUACCGCCAGAAGAAAGAUGGAACAAAAUGGCCUUUUUCAGCAAAGACUUGUUAGAUUUGCUCAGGUACCUCAUCUGGGCUCCACCCUAAUUACGAACUGCUAGCAUAUGCCUCAUUUUCCCUUCACCAAGCCUUGGUGUUCAUACUGAUGCCAAGGCUGACACAAGUAGCUGACUCCUACUGACCUGUGCUUGGCAUAGCUGACUUGGGGCAAAGCUGGUGUUUCAAACCAUCCAGCUGUAUGAUUAAAUACAAGUGCUCCACAGGCACACAACUUUUACCCGCCCAACUUAAAAGAAUUCUUCUGUUCUGAAUCAUGCCAAUAUUCCUGCAUGGAGAAAAGUGUAUCUUAUCUCUCACCUUCUCAAAGCAUAAAUUAAAUUAACAAGAGAUCAACAUGCUUCAGCGGACAAUCGGAUUUAUGAUACUUGAGCUUACACUGAUGGUCCAUAUGAGAUAAGCCAUUAGGAUACAGUGAUUAAGGCUGAACACACAAUGAAGUACAGGAAUUUAGCCAGAGGAGUCAAGGUGGGAAGGUUAAACUAAAUGCAUAAUACAAAGUGAAAGCUAAUUGAAGAACUAUCAGUCAAGGACUUACACCUACAGUUGUUUUUUUGGUUUUGUUUUGUUUUGUUUUUUGGGGGGCUGCACUUUGUGUAUUAUAUAUUUGCUUCAUUGCUAGCCACUACAAUUUUUUCAUUUUUUAAAAAGCAGCUGAAGACACAGAAGUGCUGUGAUACAUCUUUGCUUGUAUUAGAUAAACUAACCAAAAAAUAACACUCUUAAAGAUUGUGUUGGAGAAAAGUAAAUUUCUGCAAGACCAGAUCUUAGAAAGCCCCUCGAAAUAUCUCAGAAUCAUUCUCAAAUACAUUUUCAAGAAAAAGCCACCAUCCAGUUUAAAUGCUGUCAGGAAAUGGCAAACAAAUUUCCUGGCAUUAAAAAAUGAGCGCUACUGCCAAAUUCUCUCCUCCUCUAGGUUUUCAACGACAGCGCCUGGCAGCACAAAGUGCCAAGUCCAUUGCAAUCUCUAAUGUAGACAAAAUGAAACUGAUAUUCGUAGAGAUGAAUAAUAAACCUCACUACACAGAGGUUACAGACCCACCAUGCCGAUACAAAUAUUGGUCUAAGUUUUGCUGCAGAUGUACGAAGCCACUUAGUACUGUACUUGUGAUUAGUUACGCUAUUUGUCUUGAUAAGUCUUCUAUCCCCAGUCACAUAUAAUUCUGGUCAGUUAUCUUCCUUAAUAACUGAGAAAUAUUAUAUACCCAUUAACUCUGCCAGUAUUCAAUACAAGUUGGAUAGAAGUAAAUGAUGCAACAGCUCCCACAGCAAAGUUACUUCUAGAGUCACUGAUAGCCUAAUGUGGUCUUCCUGCUGCUUUAGGUGAACAGAUGAGAGUCACAGCAAACAAUAUGACUAUUUGUUCAGCAAAGAGGCUUUUGAGUGGCACAUGCAUACAGAAAUUUUCUAUCAAACUGCCUCCCGUAUUCUGCUAAAAUAGCUAUUAUUGAAGAGGGAAAACUUCCUCUCAGUGUGUUGCUAAUGGCCUGAUACAAUACAAGGACUGACAAGUCAAGUAAUCCAGGACAGUCAAAAUACUAAAACCUGGCUCUAUACUCAUCAGGGAGGAGAAAUAACAAUAACACAGACUAUUUAAAACAUACACACAGCCCAUCAACUCCAGUACAGCAAGCUGUUAAGUGUUGAGCUGCGAUGUUUCAUCCUUCAGGAAUAGCAUCAGGUCUUCAGUACUUGCCUGUAUCCGUUUCAGCAAGUAGCAAGUCAGCUACUCUGAAUGGAGGGCAGAGCAACUGAAAGAAAACUAUCUGCACUGCAGCAGACAAAUGCAAUUGCUACUGUAUGAAUCACCAGAAGGAUAGUUUCACAAGAGAAGAAAAAACAACAAAUACAGAAAAAUGUUAGCUUUAAUUACUCUUAAACCCAAGUAUCAAGAAUGGAUUGUAUUUCCUAGGUUAUAAAAGUAACAUUGGUAUUUUGAAGUAAC